rnacentral:rRNA from 1 species
UACGUAGGGUGCGAGCGUUGUCCGGAAUCAUUGGGCGUAAAGGGCGCGUAGGUGGCCCCUCAAGCGUGCGGUGAAAGUCAGGGGCUCAACCCCUGAUCGGCCGUGCGAACUGGGGAGCUUGAGCACUGUAGAGGCAGGCGGAAUUCCGGGUGUAGCGGUGGAAUGCGUAGAGAUCCGGAGGAAGACCGGUGGCGAAGGCGGUCUGCUGGGCAGUUUCUGACACUGAGGCGCGACAGCGUGGGGAGCAAACAGG